GGAGGAAGUGACCAAGGUGAUUAGUUCCAACACUAAGUUCAAACCCUUCAGCAGUGAAAGUUGGUUCCUUUGCAGUCGGCAAGUAGACAGCAGCAUUGCAUACAAGCACAUCAAGAGGCAUGCCCGAGCGGCGGAAGCUAUCAACAAAUUGCCUUACACUGUCAAGUGAGGCAAGGUCUAGAUGCAUAACAGUAUAGUUUUCCUUAGCUAUGCCUGCUGAUUUUG
rnacentral:misc_RNA from 1 species